UUCCUUCCAGUCGGCAAGGAUGUACCUUGCCGGCUGGAAAGGUUUCCUUCCAGCUUGCAAGGUACAUGUACCUUGCCGGCUGGAAGAAACCCUUCCAGCCGGCAGUGGCAAGGUGCAUGUACCUCUUGCCGGCUGGAAGGAAAUCCUUCCAGUUGACAAGGUACAUGUACCUUGCCAACUGGAAGGAA
rnacentral:miRNA from 1 species